AUUGAACGCUGGCGGCAUGCCUUACACAUGCAAGUCGAACGGUAACAGGUCUUCGGAUGCUGACGAGUGGCGAACGGGUGAGUAAUGCAUCGGAACGUGCCCAGUAGUGGGGGAUAGCCCGGCGAAAGCCGGAUUAAUACCGCAUACGACCUGAGGGUGAAAGGGGGGGAUCGCAAGACCUCUCGCUAUUGGAGCGGCCGAUGUCAGAUUAGCUAGUUGGUGGGGUAAAGGCCUACCAAGGCAACGAUCUGUAGUUGGUCUGAGAGGACGACCAGCCACACUGGGAAUGAGACACGGCACAGACUCCUACGGGAGGCAGCAGUGGGGAAUUUUGGACAAUGGGCGCAAGCCUGAUUCAGCAAUGCCGCGUGCAGGAAGAAGGCCUUCGGGUUGUAAACUGCUUUUGUCAGGGAAGAAAUCUUCUGGGUUAAUACCUCGGGAGGAUGACGGUACCUGAAGAAUAAGCACCGGCUAACUACGUGCCAGCAGCCGCCGUAACAC
rnacentral:rRNA from 1 species